ACCAGCGUCGAUAGCACGUUGAACGCACCAGUUCCCAAAGAAUCACUAAUGUUAAGCAACGUUGUGCGUGGUUAGUGUCCGGAUGGGUGACCAUCUGGGCAAUCUACGUCCUGCUGUCU
rfam:Asian citrus Psyllid, Diaphorina citri - Florida Strain, whole genome shotgun sequence.